rnacentral:rRNA from 1 species
UGGGGAAUCUUGCGCAAUGGGGGAAACCCUGACGCAGCGACGCCGCGUGCGGGAUGAAGGCCUUCGGGUUGUAAACCGCUUUCAGCAGGGACGAGGCCUUAUGGUGACGGUACCUGCAGAAGAAGCUCCGGCUAAAUACGUGCCAGCAGCCGCGGUAAUACGUAUGGAGCAAGCGUUAUCCGGAUUCAUUGGGCGUAAAGCGCUCGUAGGCGGUCUGUUAGGUCGGCAAGUUAAAUCCGGGGGCUCAACCCCCGUCCGCUUCCGAUACCGGCAGACUUGAGUUUGGUAGGGGAAGGUGGAAUUCCUAGUGUAGCGGUGGAAUGCGCAGAUAUUAGGAAGAACACCGGUGGCGAAGGCGGCCUUCUGGGCCACGACUGACGCUGAGGCGCGAAAGCUAGGGGAGCGAACAGG